AUGGAGCCGACCUUGAAAUACCACCCUUUAAUGUUUGAUGUUCUAACGUUGACCCGUAAUCCGGGUUGCGGACAGUGUCUGGUGGGUAGUUUGACUGGGGCGGUCUCCUCCUAAAGAGUAACGGAGGAGCACGAAGGUUGGCUAAUCCUGGUCGGACAUCAGGAGGUUAGUGCAAUGGCAUAAGCCAGCUUGACUGCGAGCGUGACGGCGCGAGCAGGUGCGAAAGCAGGUCAUAGUGAUCCGGUGGUUCUGAAUGGAAGGGCCAUCGCUCAACGGAUAAAAGGUACUCCGGGGAUAACAGGCUGAUACCGCCCAAGAGUUCAUAUCGACGGCGGUGUUUGGCACCUCGAUGUCGGCUCAUCACAUCCUGGGGCUGAAGUAGGUCCCAAGGGUAUGGCUGUUCGCCAUUUAAAGUGGUACGCGAGCUGGGUUUAGAACGUCGUGAGACAGUUCGGUCCCUAUCUGCCGUGGGCGCUGGAGAACUGAGGGGGGCUGCUCCUAGUACGAGAGGACCGGAGUGGACGCAUCACUGGUGUUCGGGUUGUCAUGCCAAUGGCACUGCCCGGUAGCUAAAUGCGGAAGAGAUAAGUGCUGAAAGCAUCUAAGCACGAAACUUGCCCCGAGAU
rnacentral:rRNA from 1 species